rnacentral:miRNA from 1 species
UAUUGGGUUGGCCAAAAAUUUCAUUUGGGUUUUUCCAUAGGAUGCUAUGCAAAACCCAAAUGAACUUUUUGGCCAACCCAGU